UGCCUUUGUAAAUGCACCUCAGGACCUUAUCGAUCCAGUUGAUAUAUUAAAGCCUUUGGAGAAGUCUGGAUUUUGGGAAGCGGUGAAAGCUUCAAAAUGGUGUGAGAGGAAAGUGGCUGUUGCUGAACUAACCAAACAUGCAUCCA